rnacentral:misc_RNA from 1 species
UGGAAGAACAUUCUCAAAGAUCCUGAUUUCGCUCCGUCUCUCACUCAUCGCUCUAACAUUGACCUCAAGGACAAAUGGCGUAAUUUGAGUGUCAGUACUGCUUCACAAGGCUCAAAAGAGAAGUCUAGGAUUCCUAAAGCAAAAGCUAUCGUUGCUGCUAUUUCUAACAACCAAAGCUCUGCUCCUGCUAAGCUUAUUGCAG